AUUAGGUAGGAGUACCCGCUGAACUUAAGCAUAUCAAUAAGCGGAGGAAAAGAAACUAACAAGGUUUCCCUUAGUAACGGCGAGUGAAGUGGGAAUGGCUCAAAUUUUAAAUCCGAUCGGGAAACCGGUCCGAAGUGUAAUUUAAAGAAGCGUUUACAGCGUUCUCUCGGGUAUAGGUCCCUUGGAAUAGGGCAUCAUUGAGGGUGAGAAUCCCGUCUGUGACUCGAGUUCGGGUGCGAUACGUGACGCUUUCGACGAGUCAAGUUGUUUGGGAUUGCAGCUCAAAAUGGGUGGUAAAUUCCAUCUAAGGCUAAAUAAUUGCAAGAGACCGAUAGCGAACAAGUACCGUGAGGGAAAGAUGAAAAGAACUUUGAAAAGAGAGUUAAACAGUACGUGAAAUUGUUGAAAGGGAAACGAUUGAAGCCAGUCGUGCCGGUGGGAAAUCAGCUUCCGGGAUUCCUGGGGGUGCACUUUCUCGCAAGGCAGGUUAGCGUCAGUUUCGCCAGUCGUAAAAAGUCCGUCGGAAUGUGACUCCUUUCGGAGUGUUAUAGCCAGCGGUCAAUGCGACGUGCGGGACUGAGGAUUGCAGCGGGUGCCUUUCGAGGCUGCCUUUCGGGGCUAUGUGCCUAGCUCUUGUUUGUGAUCGUCUUGGUAGCAGCUUGCUGGUGCCGAGCCCGAUUCGUGGACACGGGGUAUAGCGUCACGGUAAACUCGCUAAGGAUGCUGACGUAAUGGCUUUAAACGACCCGUCUUGAAACACGGACCAAGGAGUCUAACAUAUGUGCGAGUGUU
rnacentral:rRNA from 1 species